rnacentral:rRNA from 1 species
AACGAACGCCGGCGGCAGGCUUAACACAUGCAAGUCGAGCGCCCCGCAAGGGGAGCGGCAGACGGGUGAGUAACGCGUGGGAAUCUACCCAUCUCUACGGAAUAACGCAUGGAAACGUGUGCUAAUACCGUAUACGUCCUUCGGGAGAAAGAUUUAUCGGAGAUGGAUGAGCCCGCGUUGGAUUAGCUAGUUGGUGGGGUAAAGGCUUACCAAGGCGACGAUCCAUAGCUGGUGUGAGAGGAUGAUCAGCCACACUGGGACUGAGACACGGCCCAGACUCCUACGGGAGGCAGCAGUGGGGAAUAUUGGACAAUGGGCGCAAGCCUGAUCCAGCCAUGCCGCGUGAGUGAUGAAGGCCCUAGGGUUGUAAAGCUCUUUCACCGGUGAAGAUAAUGACGGUAACCGGAGAAGAAGCCCCGGCUAACUUCGUGCCAGCCGCCGCCGUAAGAC